AGUCUAAAAGGAGGAGGCGAAUCGAACGCAAAAAUUAUGGGCCCAGUUUUUGAGAUCUAAAUGAAGUUCGAAAAUCGCCGUUAGGGGCGCUUGUGAUGAUUGGGAUACUAGAAAUACACAGCUUCUUAUGGCAAGAAUAACUAUUUUGUUAUAAAUUAUAGAGCCAAGUUAAUAUUUGGGCAUAUUUUUACCAGAGUUAGCUUUUAGAAACGUGGUUUUUCUAAUUGAGCAAUGUGCGUGGCUAAAAUUGUGAAUACAAAACCUUAAAUUUGAGUUUGAAAAUGCAUACACGACCGAAGAAACAUAUAAGCUGCUAAAAUAAAUCUUCCCUAGAACUGUUGUACAAAAAAGAUAGAAGUUCCAGCAACAAAUUUAUCACCAGUUCAACCUUUGAUUUGAUGUAAACAGUAAUUGUUUCUUGAUGAGAAAUGCGAAUGAAAUAGUUUAUGGUGUGAUUGUGUUAGUGUUUUAUUAAUAGUUUUGUUGAUGCAGUUUAAAGGUUCAUAGUUUUUCAUUAAAACAUUUGAAAUUGA